AUGCUGGAGAAAGCUACCCCGGGGAGAGGGAAAACUUCCUCCAAUUUCUUCCCCAUUGACUGUGACAUCUGUUUCGGGAUGAGUCAGGCGGGUUCCCAGCGCCUGUGUGGGAGGGAAGCAGGGCGAGAGCCGGAGGGGUCGGACCUGCCGGGCUCCAGCCGCGCAUCCCAGCCCCAUUCCCACAUCGCAGCCCCAUCCUCCCAUCCCAGCCCCAUCCCCGUAUCCUGGCUCCAUCCUCUCAUCCCAGCCCCAUCCUCCCAUCCCAGCUCCAUCCUCUCAUCCCAGCUCCAUCCUCUCAUCCCUGCCCCAUCCCCAUCCUCCCAUCCCAGCUCCAUCCUCUCAUCCCUGCCCCAUCCCCAUAUCCCAGCUCCAUCCUCUCAUCCCGACUCCAUCCUCUCAUCCUGGCUCCAUCCCCGUAUCCCUGCCCCAUCCCUGCAUCCCAGCUCGGCCGGGAGCUGCUCCAGGGCGUUUAAUCAGCCCAAAUCAAUUUCCAGCUUUAAUUGCUUUGCUCGGUGUGGGUGGCACUCGGCGCUUGCCAAGGACACGACAACUGCCAAAGGCUGCGCCUGGAAUUGCCGUUCCCGACGGCUGCUCCUGCACGGAUCCUGCUCCAUCCCCAGCCCUGGGAGCAGGGAUUUGUCCUUCCGCAGGCGCUGCUGCCGGCAGGGCUUUGCUGAGCAGCCGAUGCCGAGUGUCCCGGAGGGAAACCCCAACCCACAAACGCUCGGGAUGGGAAAUGACAUCCCAAGUCAGCGUGUUUCCAUCUUUCUAAACACAAGGAUCAGUGUGAGACCGGGAUCCUGCAUCCUGCCCGGCCAUGGGCGUGUGGCAGGUGCCGGGGGAAGGAGGCAGUGCCAAGGGAUGGGUCGGUUCUGUGGGGCUGCAGAGCUCAGCCUUGCUGGGAACACCGGGAUUGUGCCAGGUCUCGGCUCUGGAGCCCUCGGAGGGCUGGGAUUUUGGUCACUGCUCCAGCACAAUGGCUCGAGGUCAGCUCUUGGCAAGGCCACGUGCAGGAGCAUCCGUGGCUGA
rnacentral:lncRNA from 1 species